rnacentral:rRNA from 8 species
AAACUUUCAACAACGGAUCUCUUGGUUCUGGCAUCGAUGAAGAACGCGGCGAAAUGCGAUAAGUAAUGUGAAUUGCAGAAUUCAGUGAAUCAUCGAAUCUUUGAACGCACAUUGCGCCCGCCGGUAUUCCGGCGGGCAUGCCUGUUCGAGCGUCAUUU